rnacentral:lncRNA from 1 species
UUUUUACAAAAAACAAACUUUUAAUUUCAGUUUGAAGAGGACAGUGAAAAGCGACUGGAACCUCUUUACCAAUCUGAAGAAAAUUUAACACUGGUGGAAGCGAAACCAACAACACCUGCCGAAAAGGUAUUAGAUGUAGUGCAUGCAGUGGAAACGCUGGCCAAAGGCCCACAAGAAAGUGUCGCGCCGCCUAAAUCACCGGGUGGACCAAACUCUGAAUUAAAAACCACCACAAUAGUGAUGAGCAAACACACUCUAGCAGCACAACAGACAACUAUGAAACAGACACAUUCUAAACAGUAACUGGCCACAGAUAUUUGGCAGUACAUCAAGUCUAAGCAUUUACGUUAUUAGUCUAGAACUUCCAGCAGUGUUGAUCUGCUUAGUAAAAGUACGGAACUAAGUUGAAAAUGCUCAUUUAACUUACUUCAGCUGAGCAUGUUAUUAUUUUACGUAAAGUGACCAAUUAAUUAUUUCUCUCUGACAUUCAGUAUUGAAGCAAGAUCUAUUUUAAAUAUG